rnacentral:rRNA from 1 species
CUACGGGAUGCUCCAGUGGGGAAUAUUGCACAAUGGGCGCAAGCCUGAUGCAGCCAUGCCGCGUGUAUGAAGAAGGCCUUCGGGUUGUAAAGUACUUUCAGCGGGGAGGAAGGGAGUAAAGUUAAUACCUUUGCUCAUUGACGUUACCCGCAGAAGAAGCACCGGCUAAGUCCGUGCCAGCAGCCGCGGUAAUACGGAGGGUGCAAGCGUUAAUCGGAAUUACUGGGCGUAAAGCGCACGCAGGCGGUUUGUUAAGUCAGAUGUGAAAUCCCCGGGCUCAACCUGGGAACUGCAUCUGAUACUGGCAAGCUGGAGUCUCGUAGAGGGGGGUAGAAUGCCAGGUGUAGCGGUGAAAUGCGUAGAGAUCUGGAGGAAUGCCGGUGGCGAAGGCGGCCCCCUGGACGAAGACUGACGCUCAGGUGCGAAAGCGUGGGGAGCAAACAGGAUUAGAUACCCUUGUAGUC